rnacentral:rRNA from 1 species
AGAUACAGCCUACGGGAGCAGCAGUGGGGAAUAUUGGGCAAUGGGCGCAAGCCUGACCCAGCAACGCCGCGUGAAGGAAGAAGGCUUUCGGGUUGUAAACUUCUUUUGACAGGGAAGAGCAGAAGACGGUACCUGUCGAAUAAGCCACGGCUAACUACGUGCC